GAUGAACGCUGGCGGCGUGCCUAAUACAUGCAAGUCGAGCGAACGGACGAGAAGCUUGCUUCUCUGAUGUUAGCGGCGGACGGGUGAGUAACACGUGGAUAACCUACCUAUAAGACUGGGAUAACUUCGGGAAACCGGAGCUAAUACCGGAUAAUAUUUUGAACCGCAUGGUUCAAAAGUGAAAGACGGUCUUGCUGUCACUUAUAGAUGGAUCCGCGCUGCAUUAGCUAGUUGGUAAGGUAACGGCUUACCAAGGCAACGAUGCAUAGCCGACCUGAGGGGUGGGCCGGCCACCAGGAAAACAGGCACGGGCCCCACGCCCACAGGAGGGGACAGUGGGGGAUAUUGGCCAAAAGGCGCAAGGCCGUGCCGGGCAUACCGCGCGGGAGAAGAAAGGGUUUGGGUUGGAAAGACCUUUUUUUCGGGAAAAAAAAAAGUGGGUAAAUACCUGGCCGUUCUGAGGGGACCCAAAAAAAAAACCCCGGCUAAAUUCGUG
rnacentral:rRNA from 1 species